GAUGCUCAUCACAAGGGUCAUUCUUGUUCACAAACUUGAGAAGCUUAAUCUCAUCCAAACUCUGAUCAAAGAAGUCCUUGUCAUUCUUUAUUAUCUUCAAGCAAACGUCUACUCCAGUGUGCAUAUCAUGAGCCUGAAUGACUUUGCUGAAUGCAGCUGAACCAAGGUAUUCUGUUACAUAGUAUCUACCGGCGAUAAUACUAUUUAGAACAAUAGGCAGGUCUUUGCUCUCCUCAAACCCAGUCCUGUUUUUCCUGUGUAUAAUCCUCAGAUUAAAUACUUCAAAC
rnacentral:misc_RNA from 1 species